CAGUAGCCACGGUAAUACAGAGGGUGCAAGCGUUAAUCGGAAUUACUGGGCGUAAAGCGCGCGUAGGUGGUUUGUUAAGUUGGAUGUGAAAGCCCCGGGCUCAACCUGGGAACUGCAUCCAAAACUGGCAAGCUAGAGUACGGUAGAGGGUGGUGGAAUUUCCUGUGUAGCGGUGAAAUGCGUAGAUAUAGGAAGGAACACCAGUGGCGAAGGCGACCACCUGGACUGAUACUGACACUGAGGUGCGAAAGCGUGGGGAGCAAACAGGAUUAGAUACCCCCGUAGUCCCUGUCUCUUAUAA
rnacentral:rRNA from 1 species